GCCGGGGUGGUGGAACAGGCAGACACAAGGGACUUAAAAUCCCUCGGAUGGUGACAUCCGUACCGGUUCGAUUCCGGUUCCCGGCACCA
rnacentral:tRNA from 1 species